UACGUAGGGGGCAAGCGUUGUCCGGAAUCAUUGGGCGUAAAGCGCGUGUAGGCGGUUCGAUAAGUCUGCUGUGAAAGUCCAGGGCUCAACCCUGGGAUGCCGGUGGAUACUGUCGGACUAGAGUACGGAAGAGGCGAGUGGAAUUCCCGGUGUAGCGGUGAAAUGCGCAGAGAUCGGGAGGAACACCAGUGGCGAAAGCGGCCGGCUGGGCCUGUUCUGACGCUGAGGCGCGAAAGCGUGGGGAGCGAACCGG
rnacentral:rRNA from 1 species